UAGUCUGCAACCCGACUACAUGAAGCCGGAAUCGCUAGUAAUCGCGGAUCAGAAUGCCGCGGUGAAUACGUUCCCGGGCCUUGUACACACCGCCCGUCACACCAUGAGAGUUGGCAACACCCGAAGUCAGUAGCCUAACCGCAAGGGGGGCGCUGCCGAAGGUGGGGUUGAUGAUUGGGGUGAAGUCGUAACAAGGUAAC
rnacentral:rRNA from 1 species